rnacentral:rRNA from 1 species
GUGGAUUAGAUACCCUGGUAGUCCAUGCCCUAAACGUUGAUUACUCGUUGUUGGCGAUACACUGUCAGCGACUAAGCGAAAGCGUUAAGUAAUCCACCUGGGGAGUACGAUCGCAAGGUUGAAACUCAAAGGAAUUGACGGGGGCCCGCACAAGCGGUGGAGCAUGUGGUUUAAUUCGAUGAUACGCGAGGAACCUUACCAGGGCUUGAAAGUUAGUGACCGCUGCCGAAAGGUGGCUUCCCUUCGGGGCACGAAACUAGGUGCUGCACGGUCGUCGACAACU